GAUGAACGCUAGCGGGAGGCCUAACACAUGCAAGCCGAGCGGUAGAGUUUCUUCGGAAACUUGAGAGCGGCGUACGGGUGCGGAACACGUGUGCAACCUGCCUUUAUCUGGGGGAUAGCCUUUCGAAAGGAAGAUUAAUACCCCAUAAUAUAUUGAUUGGCAUCAAUUAAUAUUGAAAACUCCGGUGGAUAGAGAUGGGCACGCGCAAGAUUAGAUAGUUGGUGAGGUAACGGCUCACCAAGUCAGUGAUCUUUAGGGGGCCUGAGAGGGUGAUCCCCCACACUGGUACUGAGACACGGACCAGACUCCUACGGGAGGCAGCAGUGAGGAAUAUUGGACAAUGGGUGAGAGCCUGAUCCAGCCAUCCCGCGUGAAGGACGACGGCCCUAUGGGUUGUAAACUUCUUUUGUAUAGGGAUAAACCUACCCUCGUGAGGGUAGCUGAAGGUACUAUACGAAUAAGCACCGGCUAACUCCGUGCCAGCCGCCGCGGUAAGAC
rnacentral:rRNA from 1 species